AUGGGCAGCUCGCUCGGGUCCGGCGACAUGAUGAAGGUCGGCAUGGGCAGCUCGCUCGGGUCUGGCGACACCAUGAAUGUCGGGCCAGCGAAGAAGGAUGCCUCCGAGUACUCCUCCAUCUUGGUCAGAGACGUCGCCUUCUUCUCGGACCGGUUGAUCGACGGAGCGAGGCCACCGAAGGACGAUGCCUCCAUCACGGUCGGAGGCGUCACCUUCUUCUCCGACCAGUCGACCGACGCCACAGGGCCAACGAAGAGUGUCCCCGCCUCCGAGUCUGCCUCAGUCGCAGGCUUUGCUUUCUUCUCCGACCGGUCGAUCGACAGAGCAGGGCCAGCGAAGGAUGCAACCACCGAGUUUGCCACCAUCUCAGUCGUAGGCUUUGCCUUCUUCUCCGACAGGCCGACCGACGGCGCCGGGCCGGCGAGGAGUGAUGCCUCCGAGGCUGCCACCAUCACAGUCGGAGGCCUCGGCUUCUUCUCGCACCGGUCUACGGAUGGCGCGCGGCUGGCCGGCCUCUUCCAGUUUUCCCUCGACGUAUCCCCGCGGCCGAGGCGCUCGAUGCCGCCGUUCAAAGUUCCGGCACGACGGAGCGUCUUGUCAGUGGCCCAGCUGGAGCUCCGGGAAGCACGCCCAGGAAGGUCGGCCUUGUCCUUGAUCCAGCUUCUGCUCAUCGAGGCACGUUCAGGCUGCUGCUUCUUGGUGUUCAGCUCCACACAAGCCGUGUACACCGCCGGAGGAGGCGUCAGGAGGAGGCAGCGCGCCGGGGUAGGCAACAGCGGCGGCAGAGUCGCAGCGACAUGGCUAGCCAUCUCUGCAAAACAAAGAACACAGCAAAGAACACAAAGACCAAGUGAUUGCACAAGCGAAACAAGUAAACUGAACAAUUGCGAUGCUGAAAUUCAAAAAUGA
rnacentral:rRNA from 1 species